GAUGAACGCUGGCGGCGUGCCUAAUACAUGCAAGUCGAGCGAACAGACGAGGAGCUUGCUCCUCUGACGUUAGCGGCGGACGGGUGAGUAACACGUGGAUACCUACCUAUAAGACUGGGAUAACUUCGGGAAACCGGAGCUAAUACCGGAUAAUAUAUUGAACCGCAUGGUUCAAUAGUGAAAGACGGUUUUGCUGUCACUUAUAGAUGGAUCCGCGCCGCAUUAGCUAGUUGGUAAGGUAACGGCUUACCAAGGCAACGAUGCGUAGCCGACCUGAGAGGGUGAUCGGCCACACUGGAACUGAGACACGGUCCAGACUCCUACGGGAGGCAGCAGUAGGGAAUCUUCCGCAAUGGGCGAAAGCUUGACGGAGCAACGCCGCGUGAGUGAUGAAGGUCUUCGGAUCGUAAAACUCUGUUAUUAGGGAAGAACAAAUGUGUAAGUAACUAUGCACGUCUUGACGGUACCUAAUCAGAAAGCCACGGCUAACUACGUG
rnacentral:rRNA from 1 species